rnacentral:rRNA from 1 species
AGUGAACGCUGGCGGUAGGCCUAACACAUGCAAGUCGAACGGCAGCACAGUAAGAUCUUGCUCUUACGGGUGGCGAGUGGCGGACGGGUGAGGAAUACAUCGGAAUCUACUUUUUCGUGGGGGAUAACGUAGGGAAACUUACGCUAAUACCGCAUACGACCUACGGGUGAAAGCAGGGGAUCUUCGGACCUUGCGCGAUUGAAUGAGCCGAUGUCGGAUUAGCUAGUUGGCGGGGUAAAGGCCCACCAAGGCGACGAUCCGUAGCUGGUCUGAGAGGAUGAUCAGCCACACUGGAACUGAGACACGGUCCUGACUCCUACGGGAGGCAGCAGUGGGGAAUAUUGGACAAUGGGCGCAAGCCUGAUCCAGCCAUACCGCGUGGGUGAAGAAGGCCUUCGGGUUGUAAAGCCCUUUUGUUGGGAAAGAAAAGCAGCAGGUUAAUACCCCGCUGUUCUGACGGUACCCAAAGAAUAAGCACCGGCUAACUUCGUG